GACGCUUUGGUGGAGUGGUUAACACGUAUCCCUGCUACUAUUUCUCUCGCAGAAAAGACAGGUGAGCAUUUCGCAAGCGCGAAUGAUAGGAUAUCCUCUCUGAGGGCGUGAGUUCGAAUCUCACAGGCGUCG
rnacentral:tRNA from 1 species